rnacentral:rRNA from 1 species
AACGAACGCUGGCGGCAUGCCUAACACAUGCAAGUCGAACGGACCCUUCGGGGUUAGUGGCGCACGGGUGCGUAACGCGUGGGAAUCUGCCCUGGGGUACGGAAUAACGCUUCGAAAGGAGUGCUAAUACCGUAUGAUGUCUUCGGACCAAAGAUUUAUUGCCCUGGGAUGAGCCCGCGUUGGAUUAGCUAGUUGGAGAGGUAAAGGCUCACCAAGGCGACGAUCCAUAGCUGGUCUGAGAGGAUGAUCAGCCACACUGGGACUGAGACACGGCCCAGACUCCUACGGGAGGCAGCAGUGGGGAAUAUUGGACAAUGGGCGAAAGCCUGAUCCAGCAAUGCCGCGUGAGUGAUGAAGGCCUUAGGGUUGUAAAGCUCUUUUACCCGGGAAGAUAAUGACUGUACCGGGAGAAUAAGCCCCGGCUAACUCCGUGCCAGCCGCCGCCGUAA